CGAUGCCAUUGGCCGAGCUCCCAGCAUCCUUUGCAGCCUCCGCGUUGGCCGAGUUCCCAGCAUCCUUUGCAGAGAUGCCAUUGGCCAGGCUCCCAGCAUUCUUUGCAGCCUCCAAGUUGGCCGAGCUCCCAGCGGCCUUUGCAGCGAUGCCAUUGGCCGAGCUCCCAGCAUCCUUUGCAGCCUCUGUGUUGGCCGAGCUCCCAGCAUCCUUUGCAGCGAUGCCAUUGGCCGAGCUCCCAGCAUCCUUUGCAGCCUCUGUGUUGGCCGAGCUCCCAGCAUCCUUUGCAGCCUCCAAGUUGGCCGAGCUCCCAGCAUCCUUUGCAGAGAUGCCAUUGGCCGAACUCCCAGAAUCCUUUGCAGCCUCUUGGACAGCCAACAUCCCAGCAUCCUUUGCAGCCUCUGGGACAGCCAAUAUCCCAGCAUCCUUUGCACCCCCUGAUUUGGCCGAGCUCCCAGUGUCCUUUGCAGCCACAUUGUUGGUCUUGCUCCCAGAGUCCUUUGCAGCCCCUAAGGUGACCGAGCUCCCAGCAUCCUCUGGGGCCUCCAGGACAGCCAACGUCCCAGUGUCCUUUGCAGUCUCUGGGGUGGCCGCAUUCCCAGCAGCCUUUGCGGCUAUACCA
rnacentral:lncRNA from 1 species